GCAUUAAUGGGGUAGUGGUAACCUGGGUCGUUGCCAUUGGAGAGUGAUUUCGACCCGCCGGGGGUUCGAUUCCCCCUUAAUGCA